UCCCAUCUCCGAGCUAGGGUCGUUUUUCCUCUCGAUCUUCAAGAGGUAAGAGUCGAUCUUGAGCUCAUUAUAUGUUUUAAACAAGUUUUAAGUUGUUUUAUGGGGUAGAAAUGCAUGUUAGGUCAUAUUGGAGUUCAUGGGUUCAUGUUAAGUUUUUGAGCAAUGUAUGAUGUUUGUGGUUGUUUGAUGUGUUGUAGUUGGGGUUUAAGAUAGUUUGAAGCCCCUAGGAGCUGAUGU
rnacentral:lncRNA from 1 species